AGGGAGGGGACACAGAGGGGACAGACAGAGGGACAGGGGGACACAGAGGGGACCCCACCCCUUCCCAAGCCCCUUUUUUGGGGGGCAGGACCAAAAUUGGGGGCUGCAGCCCCUCCCCCCCGUCCCAUCCCUGUCCCCAAGUGUCCCCAGGUGUCCCCAGGUGUCCCCAGGCAGGGAGGAGCCGAGGGUGGAACCACUGGAGUUUAAUGGGAUGGAGCAAUUCCUGCAGAAUAAACAAUUCCUGAGA